rnacentral:rRNA from 1 species
GUUCUACCUUGACGAAUUGUAGUUUAAAGAAGUGUUUUCUGUUAGAGGAGUAGCAAAAGUUCCUUGGAAUGGGACAUCAUAGAGGGUGAGAAUCCCGUGUUUGGUUAUUCUUUCUAGCUUUGUGAUACACUUUCAAAGAGUCGGAUUGUUUGGGAAUGCAGUCCAGAAUGGGUGGUAAAUUUCAUCUAAAGCUAAAUAUUGGCGAGAGACCGAUAGCGAACAAGUACCGUGAGGGAAAGAUGAAAAGAACUUUGAAAAGAGAGUUAAACAGUACGUGAAAUUGUCAAAAGGGAAGCGUUUGACACCAGUGUUGUUUUUCCGAAAAUCAAUUAAGAAGGGCUUGAUUUUGUGUUGUAUUGACCUUAUCAGCUUUCUUCACUCUUUUUCGAGUCUUUCUU